rnacentral:rRNA from 1 species
UACGAGGGGGGCGAGCGUUGUUCGGAAUUAUUGGGCGUAAAGGGUGCGUAGGCGGUUUGGUAAGUCUGAUGUGAAAUCUAUGGGCUCAACUCAUAGUCUGCAUCGGAAACUGCCGGGCUUGAGUAUGGGAGAGGUGAGUGGAAUGCUUGGUGUAGAGGUGAAAUGCGCAGAUAUCAGGAGGAACACCGAUGGCGAAGGCAGCUCACUGGGACGGUACUGACGCUGAGACGCGAAAGCGUGGGGAGCAAACAGG